rnacentral:rRNA from 1 species
AUUGAACGCUGGCGGCAGGCCUAACACAUGCAAGUCGAGCGGAGCGGCGGACGGGUGAGUAAUGCCUAGGAAUCUGCCUGGUAGUGGGGGCUAACGUCCGGAAACGGGCGCUAAUACCGCAUCCUAUCAGAUGAGCCUAGGUCGGAUUAGCUCGUUGGUGGGGUAAAGGCCUACCAAGGCGACGAUCCGUAACUGGUAUGAGAGGAUGAUCAGUCACACUGGAAAUGAGACACGGUCCAGACGACUACGGGAGGCAGCAGUGGGGAAGAUGGGACAAUGGGCGAAAGCCUGAUCCAGCAAUGCCGCGUGUGGGAAGAAGGUCUUCGGAUUGUAAAGCACUUUAAGUUGGGAGGCGUUACCAACAGAAGAAGCACCGGCUAACUUCGUGCCAGAAGCCGCGGUAAUAC